rnacentral:lncRNA from 1 species
GGUUAUUGGUUUGUUGGUUCAGUUGUUGUCGGCUAGACUUGGUGUAGCGACGGGGAGACACUUAGCUGAGCUUUGUAGGGAAGAGUAUCCGACUUGGGCUAGGAUGGUUUUGUGGGUAAUGGCGGAGUUGGCUUUAAUUGGAGCUGAUAUACAAGAAGUUAUUGGAAGUGCUAUUGCUAUUAAGAUUUUGAGUAAUGGUGCUUUACCUUUAUGGGCUGGUGUUAUUAUUAC